ACUUCGGUGGUGUAGUGGUAGCACGCGUCCCCAUAUGGAUGAAACGCGGGUUCGACUCCUGUCUGAGUUGUA